GGGAGGUACCUAAAGUAGUGCGUAUAGCACUCCAAACUGACACUCUAGAUUGUGUAACCCUCCACAAUCAUCUAGCACCCGAUAAUCCCCCCUAGAAAGGUGAGAUUACUCUGGGAGGCUCACGGUCAACCAAGGGUCAAACUACUCUAACCCUGGUCAAACGGACCUGCGGAACCCACGACCUCCAAUUUCCGAUCCGGAAGUCCCUAUGGGUUCUACCAGGUAUAGGACACUUGUCCUGCG
rnacentral:lncRNA from 1 species